GUACAUGAAAAGUGCUUGGAACAAUGGAGAGUACAUAAUAAGCCUUCUAGAAAUCCUAGCUACUAUUUUCAGGGGGUGAGCAGGAUUGAGUAGGGGAAAUGGGAAGAAUGAUGAAAAACUGAAGAUGCGAGUACAUUUGAUACCAAAUUGAUGCUGAAUAUCUUGGCAGGUCCUGUGAAUCAUCAUGCUUUUAUGACCAUCGCUUCCCACUCUAUGCCCUGAGGUCACAGGGGUAGAACAGCUUAUAAUGACUCUCUACUAAUUCUGUGGCAGGUACUGGAAGUUGUUUUUCUAAUCAUGAAUUGCAAUCUGGAAUGAGCUGGUCACAUCACUUAGCCUCCUGUCGAGUUCUCUAAUUAUUCUGAAAAGGAAAAGUUUUAAAAACCAAAUUGAACUACUAGAAAGAAGCCCAUAGAGUGGGUGUGAGCCACUGAGUUUAUUAGAAUCCCUCCAAAAAAUUGGGAACAAUUACUUCUUUGUUCUACUUUCUUUGACAUUUGAGAUAAGAUGCAGACUUACUGGACUUUUCUUUCUCACCCAAAUAUUGUGCUUGUGCUUGCGAUGCAGAGAAAAUAGGAAAACUCUGAGUGAGGAGACGCCUCUCUGCAGUGUCGGAAGUGAAAAAUCCUUAUCAAUUUUUCAGGGUGUAGUUCUAAGAGAAAGAGGACAUCAUCCUUUCUCACUUGAUGCCCACAGUUUUUCUCUCCUGGCAGCAGCCAUAGCUCCAGGUGGAAAAGGCAACCUACUCAUUGAGGAAGUUCUAACCUCUGCAGUCCGGGCUCCCUGGAAGAGGGACUGA
rnacentral:lncRNA from 1 species